rnacentral:rRNA from 1 species
AUCAAGUUGUCUACCGAAGCAGUGGGAUCAUUGAUAUGAUCGGUAGGGGAGCAUUCCAGUCGGCGUCGAAGGCGUACCGUGAGGUAUUCUGGAGCGUCUGGAAAAGCAAAUGUAGGUAUAAGUAACGAUAAAGGGGGCGGGAAACCCCCUCGCCGAAAGACUAAGGUUUCCUGAUCAACGCUAAUCGGAUCAGGGUCAGUCGGGUCCUAAGGCUCAGCCGAACGGCGAUGCCGAUGGCAGAAACGGUUAAUAUUCCGUUACUACCUUCAGGAGUGACGUGGAGACGCAGUAGUGACAGUGCCGCCAUCUGACGGAAUAGAUGGUUGAAGGGUGUAGGAGUCGAUCAUGGCAGGCAAAUCCACCAUGAGAUCCGAACCUGAUAGUAUGCCGCGUCCUUCGGGACAAGGCAAUAGUGCGCGUAAGCAUGCUGCCGAGAAAAUCCGCUAAACUUAAUCCUGCAGGUACCCGUACCGCAAACGGACACACGUAGUCGGGAUGAAUAUUCUAAGGCGCUUGAGUGAUUCACGGUUAAGGAACUAGGCAAACUGACCCUGUAACUUCGGGAUAAAGGGUCCCUACCCUUUUAUGGGAGGGCGCAGAGAAUCGGUCCAGGCAACUGUUUAACAAAAACACAGGGCUGUGCCAAAUCGAAAGAUCCAGUAUACAGCCUGACACCUGCCCGGUGCUGGAAGGUUAAGAGGAGAUGUCAUCGAUAAGAGAAGCGUUGAAUUGAAGCCCCAGUAAACGGCGGCCGUAACUAUAACGGUCCUAAGGUAGCGAAAUUCCUUGUCGGGUAAGUUCCGACCUGCACGAAUGGUGUAAUGAUCUGGACGCUGUCUCAACCGUGAGCUCAGUGAAAUUGUAGUAUCGGUGAAGAUGCCGAUUACCCGCGAUGGGACGAAAAGACCCCGUGAACCUUUACUAUAGCUUAUCAUUGAAUCUGGGCACGUGAUGUGUAGGAUAGGUCGGAGGCUUUGAAGCAGGUACGCCAGUAUUUGUGGAGCCGCUGUUGAAAUACGACCCUUUAUUUGUUUGGAUUCUAACCCGUGGAACGGGGACAUUGAUUGGUGGGUAGUUUGACUGGGGUGGUCGCCUCCAAAAGCGUAACGGAGGCUUCUAAAGGUGCCCUCCGGCCGAUUGGUAACCGGCCUUAGAGUGUAAUGGCAUAAGGGCGCUUGACUGGGAGACUGACAAGUCGAUCAGGUAGGAAACUAGAGCAUAGUGAUCCGGUGUUUCCGUAUGGAAGGGACAUCGCUCAAAGGAUAAAAGGUACUCCGGGGAUAACAGGCUGAUCCCUCCCAAGAGCUCAUAUCGACGGAGUGGUUUGGCUCCUCGAUGUCGGCUCGUCACAUUCUGGGGCUGGAGAAGGUCCCAAGGGUUGGGCUGUUCGCCCAUUAAAGUGGCACGCGAGCUGGGUUCAGAACGUCGUGAGACAGUUCGGUCUCUAUCUAUCGUGGGCGCAUGAAAUUUGCGUGGCUCUGACACUAGUACGAGAGGACCGUGUUGGACAGACCUCUGGUUUGCCGGUUGUGCCGCCAGGUGCAUUGCCGGGUAUCUAAGUCUGGAUCGGAUAAGUGCUGAAAGCAUCUAAGUACGAAGCCGGCCACAAGAUUAGAUUUCUCAGGGUCGUUGUAGACUACGACGUUGAUAGGAUGCAGGUGUAAAGAUGGAGACAUCAAAGCCGAGCAUUACUAAUUGCCC